GGUUAAGUUAAUAAGAGCAUAUUGUGGAUGCCUUGGCGGUAAUGGGCGAUGAAGGACGUGGUAGGCUGCGAUAAGCUUCGGGGAGCCGUCUAACAGGCUUUGAUCCGGAGAUUUCCGAAUGGGGGAACCUAUUAUCCUUAAUCGGAUAAUAUUACUGCCUGAAUACAUAGGGCAGUAAAGUGCACCGGGUGAACUGAAACAUCUAAGUAACCCGAGGAAGAGAAAUCAAUUUAGAGAUUGCCUUAGUAGCGGCGAGCGAAGGGGCAAGAGCCUAAACCUGUUAAAUGUUAAAGCUUAUGGGCGUUGUUUAGCAGGGGUUGUAGGGGUUGUUAUGUACAGCUAUAAAUGUACAGGAAAGUCAAAAAAUUAUUCGAUAACAAAAUAGCCUGGAAAGGCUAGCCAUAGCAGGUAAUAGCCCUUUAUGUGAAAUCGAGUAAUCUUUCCAACAGCUACCUGAGUACAACGGAACACGAGAAACUCCGUUGGAAUCUGCGAGGACCAACUUGCAAGGCUAAAUACUAUUACCGACCGAUAGUGAACUAGUACCGUGAGGGAAAGGUGAAAAGUACCCCGAGAGGGGAGUGAAAUAGAACCUGAAACAGUAUGCUUACAAGCAGUGGGAGGCACUAUAUGUGCUGACCGUGUACUUUUUGUAGAACGGACCGGCGAGUUACAGUAUGUAGCAAGGUUAAGCUUAUUAAAGCGGAGCCGCAGCGAAAGCGAGUCUGAAUAGGGCGAUUUAGUUGCAUGCUGUAGACCCGAAGCUGUGUGAUCUAUCCUUGGCCAGGGUGAAGCGAAGGUAAGACUUCGUGGAAGCCCGAACCCACCAACGUUGAAAAGUUGGGGGAUGAGCUGAGGAUGGGGGUGAAAGGCCAAUCAAACACAGAAAUAGCUGGUUCUCCUCGAAAUAGCUUUAGGGCUAGCCUGUGCCGCACGUGUUUGAGGUAGAGCACUGAAUCGGCUUUA
rnacentral:rRNA from 1 species